AGCAUAUUAAUAAGCGGAGGAAAAGAAACUAACAAGGAUUCCCUCAGUAACAGCGAGUGAAGCGGGAACAGCUCAAAUUUGAAAUCUCCGACGCUUGCGUCGGCGAGUUGUAGUUGCGAGAAGCACUUUCUAGGCGGAUCGGUGGUGCCUAAGUUGCUUGGAACAGUACGUCAUAGAGGGUGACAACCCC
rnacentral:rRNA from 1 species